rnacentral:rRNA from 1 species
UACGAAGGGAGCUAGCGUUGUUCGGAAUUACUGGGCGUAAAGCGCAUGCAGGCGGAUCGUUAAGUUGGAGGCGAAAUCCCGAGGCUCAACCUCGGAACUGCUUUCAAUACUGGCAAUCUUGAGUCCGGGAGAGGUGAGUGGAACUCCGAGUGUAGAGGUGAAAUUCGUAGAUAUUCGGAAGAACACCAGUGGCGAAGGCGGCUCACUGGCCCGGUACUGACGCUGAGAUGCGAAAGCGUGGGGAGCAAACAGG